UACGUUCCCGGGCCUUGUACACACCGCCCGUCACACCACGAAAGUUGGUUGUUCCAGAAGUCGCUGUUGGAACCCGCAAGGGACCUAGGCGCCAAAGGAAUAACCGGUAAUUGGGGUG
rnacentral:rRNA from 1 species